rnacentral:rRNA from 1 species
GACGAACGCUGGCGGCGUGCUUAACACAUGCAAGUCGAACGGAAAGGCCCUGCUUUUGUGGGGUGCUCGAGUGGCGAACGGGUGAGUAACACGUGAGUAACCUGCCCUUGACUUUGGGAUAACUUCAGGAAACUGGGGCUAAUACCGGAUAGGAGCUCCUGCUGCAUGGUGGGGGUUGGAAAGUUUCGGCGGUUGGGGAUGGACUCGCGGCUUAUCAGCUUGUUGGUGGGGUAGUGGCUUACCAAGGCUUUGACGGGUAGCCGGCCUGAGAGGGUGACCGGCGUGAGGGGGACGGAGGGCGGGCACACAGUGGGGGGGGAGGGGGAGGUGGGAAAUGGGGCAGCGGGGGGGGACGCCGGAGGCGGCUGGGCGGGGGGGGGGUGGAGGGCGUGCGGGUGGGAAGCCGCUGUCGCCGGUGGGGGAGCGGGGGUGAGGGUCAGGGGACAAGGACCACCGGCUAACGACGUACCAGCAGCCGCGCUAAUAGUCGGAAGAGCACUCCUCUGACC